rnacentral:rRNA from 1 species
UACGAAGGGGGCUAGCGUUGUUCGGAAUUACUGGGCGUAAAGGGCGCGUAGGCGGUGUGUCAAGUCAGGCGUGAAAGCCCCGGGCUCAACCUGGGAACAGCGCUUGAGACUGGCACGCUCGAGUUCGGGAGAGGAUGGUGGAAUUCCCAGUGUAGAGGUGAAAUUCGUAGAUAUUGGGAAGAACACCGAUGGCGAAGGCAGCCAUCUGGACCGACACUGACGCUGAGGCGCGAAAGCUAGGGGAGCAAACGGG